rnacentral:rRNA from 1 species
AUGAUUGUUGAAUUUGAUCCAAUAAUGCAAGAACAUCUUAGAUGAAUUCAAAAUGAUGAAAUUUAUCAUCACUAUCUCAGCCACAAAAUCCAGAACGAGUUGAUUUCUCUACUGGCCUCUAGUGUUACUAGCUCUAUCUUACAAAUUAUUAAAGAGGCUAAAUAUUUCUCCAUAAUUCUUGAUUGUACUCCAGAUGUUAGCCAUCAAGAACAAAUGACCCUAAUUAUUCGAUGUGUUAACAUGUCAAAUAAGAAAAUAAAAAUAGAAGAUUUUUUUAUGGAAUUUUGGACAGUGGAUGACACUUCUGAUUUGGGUCUUCUUAAUGUACUUCUUGAUGCAGUAGAGUCUUAUGGCUUAAAUAUUGAUAAUGUAAGGGGCCAAGGGUACGAUAAUGGUUCCAACAUGAAAGGAAAUAAACAAGGGAUACAAAGUCGUUUACUUGAAAGAAAUCCAAGAGCUCUAUAUAUGCCAUGUGCGUGUCAUAGACUCAAUCUUACUUUGUGUGAUAUGGCAAGUUCUUGCAGUAAAGCUAUAUCCUUCUUUGGAAUUGUGCAACGAAUUUAUGUUUUAUUUUCAAGUUCCACAAAAAGAUGGAAAGUUUUACUUUACCAUAUUCCUAGUUUAACUGUGAAAGGUUUGUCUAAUACU